CGCAAUGGGCGAAAGCCUGACGGCAGCGACGCCGCGUGGGGGAUGAAGGCCUUCGGGUUGUAAACCCCUUUUCCUGGGGAAGAAUAAGGUCGGGAGUAACUGCCCGACUGAUGACGGUACCCAGGGAAUAAGCCCCGGCUAAUUACGUGCCAGCAGCCGCGGUAAUACGUAUGGGGCAAGCGUUGUUCGGAUUCACUGGGCGUAAAGGGCGUGUAGGCGGUGAGGUAAGUCGGAUGUGAAAUCUCCGGGCUCAACCCGGAAAUUGCAUUCGAUACUGCCUCGCUAGAGUACCGGAGAGGGAGACGGAAUUCCUGGUGUAGGGGUGAAAUCUGUAGAUAUCAGGAGGAACACCAGUGGCGAAGGCGGUCUCCUGGCCGGAUACUGACGCUGAGGCGCGAAAGCUAGGGGAGCAAACAGGAUUAGAUACCCUGGUAGUCCUAGCUGUAAACGUUGUGCACUAGGUGUGAGUGGCUUGUCCACUCGUGCCGAAGCUAACGCAUUAAGUGCAAAGGAAUACCGCCUGGGGAGUAUGCUCGCAAGGGUG
rnacentral:rRNA from 1 species